CUACGGGCCGCAGCAGUGGGGAAUAUUGCACAAUGGAGGAAACUCUGAUGCAGCAACGCCGCGUGGAGGAUGACACUUUUCGGAGCGUAAACUCCUUUUAUAUAGGAAGAAGAUGACGGUACUAUAUGAAUAAGCGCCGGCUAACUCCGUGUCAGCAGCCGCGGUAAUACGGAGGGCGCAAGCGUUACUCGGAAUCACUGGGCGUAAAGAGCGUGUAGGCGGAUUAAAAAGUCAGAAGUGAAAUCCUAUAGCUUAACUAUAGAACUGCUUCUGAAACUCUUAAUCUAGAAUAUGGGAGAGGUAGAUGGAAUUUCUGGUGUAGGGGUAAUAUCCGUAGAGAUCAGAAGGAAUACCGAUUGCGAAGGCGAUCUACUAGAACAUUAUUGACGCUGAGACGCGAAAGCGUGGGGAGCAAACAGGAUUAGAUACCCGUGUAGUC
rnacentral:rRNA from 1 species